rnacentral:lncRNA from 1 species
GGAUGCUCACUGGCUCACUCACAGGCUCAUGCUGAGCUGGCUUUCUUAUGCAGUCCAGCAAUUCCUGCCUACUGAAUGGUGCCACCCACAGUGAGCAUGGGCCCUCCUGCCUCAAUUAACAACAGACGCAAUCCCACACAGACAGGUUCACAAGACACAUGAGCAAGAAACCAUCUCAACUGAUGCUCUCCUAUGAGAUAACUCUAGGUUGUGUCAAGUUUAUCAUCAAGGCCACACAAGACAGUAACCUAAAUAAUGUGAAGACUUUUAGCCUGUCUUCUAUGUACAGAUUUCUCAGGGAUGACACCACGGUCAGGGUUGGUGGACCAUAUUGCUGUGGGAGAUGGAGGAAAGUUGGACCCACAGAUAUUUCCUGAACAUUGUUCUAAGAGUCAAGAUUCAAUGCCCUAUUCUCACAUUUGAACCUCUUAACUAUGCUGCAAAGCCACUGUAUCUUCCCAUAAGCAACUUGCAAUGGGAGCCAGGGCAGCUGUGACUACACAGGCACAGUGAUUUAGAGAAGCCUGAAUCAGGCCCAGCCUAUGGUUCUACAUCUCUCUGUGUGUCUCUGUCUCUCUGUGUGUCUCUUCUUCUCUAUGUAUCUCUGUUUAUCUGACUCUACCUCUGUCUGUCUGUCUCCCCUCGAUGUGUGUGUGUGUGUGUGUGUGUGUGUGUGUGUGUGUGUGUGUGUUCAAGAAACUCAAAAUCAACCUAGGUCUGAGCUUUGAAAUGUCAUGUUGAAUCCAUCAUGGACAAGAGGGAUUGGACUCCACACAGUGAGGCUGCCUCAAGCCUUCUGCAACCAACAGCAAACUUUGAGACCUAUUGGAAUGGACUCAAUAUUUCUACCAUACCUUAACUGAAUCAGUCAACAGAUCAGUACAUUGUACCUCUGACCUAGCAGUAUGUGCCAGACUCUGCUAAUGCUGGGACACAUGAGUGAGGCAUCACUAGACACCCUGACUUUCUGUUUUCCUUGAAAUUAUCUAAGGGUUAUGUCUGUUGUUUUGAUUUAUAAUACUGCACACAUACAAGGACAAACAUCUCUCUGUGUGUCUCUGUCUUUCUGUGUGUCUCUUCUUCUCUAUGUAUCUCUGUUUAUCUUGUUUAUCUGUCUCUACCUCUGUCUGUCUGUCUGUACUCCCCUCGAUGUGUGUGUGUGUGUGUGUGUGUGUGUGUGUGUGUGUGUGUGUGUUCAAGAAACUCAAAAUCAACCUAGGUCUGAGCUUUGAAAUGUAAAAGAAAUUGAGGGAAAUAUAGAAGUACUCACUCAAUGACCUCUAAUCAGAUUCUGAAAGAUGCUAAGAAAUAAAAAUAAAAAUAAAAAAUCCACCCACGAUUCUGUCACACCAUCUGAGGUGCUAGGAUAACCAACAACAACCUUUUUCAUGGUCAUAAAAAUCACAAGUUACCUCCUCUAUUAGUGUAAGACAUGGAGUUGGUUUUUGUUUUUGUUUCUGUUUUGUUGUUGUUGUUGUUGUUUUGGUCCAUUUGACUCCUGUCAUUUGCCUCUUACAAUGUCCUAAAUUUUGAGUGACAUGUUUUAAUCAUAUGCCUUCAUAGGAAAUAGGGUUGGAGAGUGUGAAUAUUACCAAUACUCUGUUCAUUUAUAAGUAUAUUUAUAAUAUACAAAUGGAUUUCUUCCUCAUCUGAGUUGAUGCCUCGGCAGUUGGACACUGUGCUUCUCCCAGGGCAAAUAAACAUAUCCAUAUUUAAUAUUACUGGGUGUACAAGUCCAUGUAUUUGUUUGUAUAAUCACUUUUGCAUUUUGAGCAUUAUGCCCAGAGAAGCACAGUAUAGGAUUAAUUCGAGGUCUUUUGUUUGUUAGGUGUGUUUGGGUGUUUGCCUGAAUGUAUGCCUAUGCACCAUGUGCAUGCAGUAGCCAAAGAGGCCAGAAGAGGAUGUCAGCUCUUGUGGAACUGGAGUUAGUGAAGGUUGUUCAGUACAGAUUGCUAUGGGCCAUCAUGUGGAAAUGAAACGGGUCUCUGGAAGAGCAGCCAGUGAUCUUAGCCACUGGGCCAUCUCUUUAGCCCUACAGCUUUGAGUUUUGUUUUUUUUUUUUCCAAAUUAUUUAGGCAGUCAAACACCUCCAUCCCCUUCUCUUACAUCUUUGUACCCCAGAGGGCAGUUGUGAAGCACGUGAUCUCUUCCUAAUGGGUGUUCUAUCCUCCCUGCCUAUGUGUGGCUGAAGGAGGCCUGGAUAGCUUAGGGCAUUCCUACCUAAUUUCUUUCUUCCUCUGAUUGUCAGAGGGUGCCAAGUCCUGGGUCCUGGGGCUGAAGGAACGGACCCAUUUACUCAUCUAGGCACAUGCUCUCUGUCUGGGCUCCCAUGUGCUCUCUGAGAGCAGAGCCACUUUACUAUCUGUAAAAUGGUAGGUGCAUUUUUACCUCUGCCUCUGCUAUUUCUCCAAAAGGUGGUAAAUUGUCUCCAUCAGCAAGAAGGCACGAUGAACCCUCUGACCAUCGCUCUCCUCUCAGCCAACAUUCAGUUGAAGAAAUGUCAAGAUCGUCCAAUACUUUUUUGUGCAGAUGGAUGCAGCAAGCCCCAAUUCACACACUCUGCGAGAUGCCAUCUGAACUGGUGUGGAUGUUCUGUCUCUGAGACCCAUUAAUCUCCUCCUGCUUCCCCCAUUAGCUGAACAUUCUCUACAGCUCCCAACCACCCUGCCCCGAGGUCAGGGAGAUGCGUUUUCAAUUUCCUUCUGCAAAUUGGACUGGGCCAUCCUUUUAUGGAAAUAUGAGACAAGACAAGGGAAGGAUAUAAAACACUAAGUGCUGAAUUCUGCUCCUUUUUCACAGGACCUUUGAAAGGAAUGGUCCCGAUCAAAGAUGAAAGCUUGGUGGGUGUAUUUUUUUUUUAUGUGCAUCUUAAGAAUCAAUGAUUCAUGUUGAAUCCAUCAUGGACAAGAGGGAUUGGACUCCACACAGUGAGGCUGCCUCAAGCCUUCUGCAACCAACAGCAAACUUUGAGACCUAUUGGAAUGGACUCAAUAUUUCUCCCAUACCUUAACUGAAUCAGUCAACAGAUCAGUACAUUGUACCUAUGAUCUAGCAGUGUGUGCCAGACAACAAAGGAAGUAAAUAAAAUAAUAAACUAAGGAUUCAUAGUCAAAUAAAAAUGAAGAAUCUACCAUUCAUAAUUUAUGCUUCAUACAGCCUAGUGGGGCUGUCAGCUGAGACCCUGACUCUAUGGAUCUGUUGCUGGGAUUGCAGCAGAGCCUGUGGUCCUUUACUCUGUUGGCUGUGUUGACUUUGUACUGCAUGGCUUACCUCGAUGCUGUCACCAAAAGGCUGUUUCACACCUAAUAUCACAUAUACAACUCUAAAUUAAGGAGCAGAUGGAUAGAGGAUCAUGAUAGCUGGGACAAUCACUUAAAGAGACUUU